rnacentral:tRNA from 1 species
GCCCUGAUCGUCUAGCGGCUAGGACACCACUCUUUCAAGGUGGCGGCCGGGGUUCGAUUCCCCGUCGGGGCG